rnacentral:rRNA from 1 species
AUUGGGACUGAGAUACGGCCCAGACUCCUACGGGAGGCAGCAGUGGGGAAUAUUGCACAAUGGGCGCAAGCCUGAUGCAGCGACGCCGCGUGAGGGAUGGAGGCCUUCGGGUUGUAAACCUCUUUUAUCGGGGAGCAAGCGAGAGUGAGUUUACCCGUUGAAUAAGCACCGGCUAACUACGUGCCAGCAGCCGCGGUAAUACGUAGGGUGCAAGCGUUAUCCGGAAUUAUUGGGCGUAAAGGGCUCGUAGGCGGUUCGUCGCGUCCGGUGUGAAAGUCCAUCGCUUAACGGUGGAUCCGCGCCGGGUACGGGCGGGCUUGAGUGCGGUAGGGGAGACUGGAAUUCCCGGUGUAACGGUGGAAUGUGUAGAUAUCGGGAAGAACACCAAUGGCGAAGGCAGGUCUCUGGGCCGUUACUGACGCUGAGGAGCGAAAGCGUGGGGAGCGAACAGGAUUAGAUACCCUGGUAGUCCACGCCGUAAACGGUGGAUGCUGGAUGUGGGGCCCGUUCCACGGGUUCCGUGUCGGAGCUAACGCGUUAAGCAUCCCGCCUGGGGAGUACGGCCGCAAGGCUAAAACUCAAAGAAAUUGACGGGGGCCCGCACAAGCGGCGGAGCAUGCGGAUUAAUUCGAUGCAACGCGAAGAACCUUACCAAGGCUUGACAUGCACCCUGACGCUGCAGAGAUGUGGUGGCAUUUGGUUGGGGGUGUGCAGGUGGUGCAUGGUUGUCGUCAGCUCGUGUCGUGAGAUGUUGGGUUAAGUCCC